rnacentral:rRNA from 1 species
CCUACGGGAGGCAGCAGUGGGGAAUAUUGGGCAAUGGGCGCAAGCCUGACCCAGCAACGCCGCGUGAAGGAAGAAGGCUUUCGGGUUGUAAACUUCUUUUAUCAGGGACGAAGCAAGUGACGGUACCUUCUGAAUAAGCCACGGCUAACUACGUGCCAGCAGCCGCGGUAAUACGUAGGUGGCAAGCGUUAUCCGGAUUUACGGGGUGUAAAGGUCGUGUAGGCGGGAGUGCAAGUCAGAUGUGAAAACUAUGGGCUCAACCCAUAGCCUGCAUUUGAAACUGUACUUCUUGAGUGCUGGAGAGGCAAUCGGAAUUCCGGGUGUAGAAGUGAAAGGCGUAGAUAUACGGAGGAACACCAGUGGCGAAGGCGGAUUGCUGGACAGUAACUGACGCUGAGGCGCGAAAGCGUGGGGAGCAAACAGGAUUAGAUACCCUAGUAGUC